AAGGAGCACUUCUUACCGGGCUCUGCUCGGUCAGAGGCCAGUACAUCAGCGAAUGUCUGAUGCUGGUUGCUCAUGGGUGGAACGUUGACUACUCGGCGCACUUCGGAUGAUGAGAACGCCAGUACUGCUUCGGCGUGGAACGCGGAUCUUGUCAGCGAGGGGUGUCGGGCACGCUGUUGGGUGUCUGAGGGAAUGAUCUUCCUUCAGUUACCGGCCCCGGUAAAGCAUCGACGUAAGUUGGUGUGUGACGGGUGGCUGGUCGUUG
rnacentral:misc_RNA from 1 species